GAGCACGAGAAACUUUGUCUGAACAUGGGGGGACCAUCCUCCAAGGCUAAAUACUACUGACUGACCGAUAGUGAACCAGUACCGUGAGGGAAAGGCGAAAAGAACCCCGGAGAGGGGAGUGAAAUAGAACCUGAAACCGUAUGCGUACAAGCAGUGGGAGCCUACUUGUUAGGUGACUGCGUACCUUUUGUAUAAUGGGUCAGCGACUUAUAUUCAGUGGCAAGCUUAACCGUAUAGGGUAGGCGUAGCGAAAGCGAGUCUUAAUAGGGCGUUUAGUCGCUGGGUAUAGACCCGAAACCGGGCGAUCUAUCCAUGAGCAGGUUGAAGGUUAGGUAACACUGACUGGAGGACCGAACCCACUCCCGUUGAAAAGGUAGGGGAUGACUUGUGGAUCGGAGUGAAAGGCUAAUCAAGCUCGGAGAUAGCUGGUUCUCCUCGAAAGCUAUUUAGGUAGCGCCUCAUGUAUCACUCUGGGGGGUAGAGCACUGUUUCGGCUAGGGGGUCAUCCCGACUUACCAAACCGAUGCAAACUCCGAAUACCCAGAAGUGCCGAGCAUGGGAGACACACGGCGGGUGCUAACGUCCGUCGUGAAAAGGGAAACAACCCAGACCGCCAGCUAAGGUCCCAAAGUUGUGGUUAAGUGGUAAACGAUGUGGGAAGGCUUAGACAGCUAGGAGGUUGGCUUAGAAGCAGCCAUCCUUUAAAGAAAGCGUAAUAGCUCACUAGUCGAGUCGGCCUGCGCGGAAGAUGUAACGGGGCUCAAACCACACACCGAAGCUGCGGGUGUCACGUAAGUGACGCGGUAGAGGAGCGUUCUGUAAGCCUGUGAAGGUGAGUUGAGAAGCUUGCUGGAGGUAUCAGAAGUGCGAAUGCUGACAUGAGUAACGACAAUGGGUGUGAAAAACACCCACGCCGAAAGACCAAGGGUUCCUGCGCAACGUUAAUCGACGCAGGGUUAGUCGGUUCCUAAGGCGAGGCUGAAAAGCGUAGUCGAUGGGAAACAGGUUAAUAUUCCUGUACUUCUGGUUACUGCGAUGGAGGGACGGAGAAGGCUAGGCCAGCUUGGCGUUGGUUGUCCAAGUUUAAGGUGGUAGGCUGAAAUCUUAGGUAAAUCCGGGGUUUCAAGGCCGAGAGCUGAUGACGAGUCGUCUUUUAGAUGACGAAGUGGUUGAUGCCAUGCUUCCAAGAAAAGCUUCUAAGCUUCAGGUAACCAGGAACCGUACCCCAAACCGACACAGGUGGUCGGGUAGAGAAUACCAAGGCGCUUGAGAGAACUCGGGUGAAGGAACUAGGCAAAAUGGCACCGUAACUUCGGGAGAAGGUGCGCCGGCUAGGGUGAAGGAUUUACUCCGUAAGCUCUGGCUGGUCGAAGAUACCAGGCCGCUGCGACUGUUUAUUAAAAACACAGCACUCUGCAAACACGAAAGUGGACGUAUAGGGUGUGACGCCUGCCCGGUGCCGGAAGGUUAAUUGAUGGGGUUAGCGCAAGCGAAGCUCUUGAUCGAAGCCCCGGUAAACGGCGGCCGUAACUAUAACGGUCCUAAGGUAGCGAAAUUCCUUGUCGGGUAAGUUCCGACCUGCACGAAUGGCGUAACGAUGGCGGCGCUGUCUCCACCCGAGACUCAGUGAAAUUGAAAUCGCUGUGAAGAUGCAGUGUAUCCGCGGCUAGACGGAAAGACCCCGUGAACCUUUACUGUAGCUUUGCACUGGACUUUGAGCCUGCUUGUGUAGGAUAGGUGGGAGGCUUUGAAGCGUGGACGCCAGUUCGCGUGGAGCCAUCCUUGAAAUACCACCCUGGCAUGCUUGAGGUUCUAACUCUGGUCCGUGAUCCGGAUCGAGGACAGUGUAUGGUGGGCAGUUUGACUGGGGCGGUCUCCUCCUAAAGAGUAACGGAGGAGUACGAAGGUGCGCUC
rnacentral:rRNA from 1 species